CGAAGGGUGCAAGCGUUACUCGGAAUUACUGGGCGUAAAGCGUGCGUAGGUGGUGAGUUAAGUCUGUCGUGAAAGCCCCGGGCUCAACCUGGGAAUGGCGAUGGAUACUGGCUCGCUAGAGUGCGGUAGAGGAGAGUGGAAUUCCCGGUGUAGCAGUGAAAUGCGUAGAGAUCGGGAGGAACAUCAGUUGCGAAGGCGGCUCUCUGGACCAGCACUGACACUGAGGCACGAAAGCGUGGGGAGCAAACAGGAUUAGAUACCCUGGUAGUCCACGCCCUAAACGAUGCGAACUGGACGUUGGGAGCAAUUAGGCUCUCAGUGUCGAAGCUAACGCGUUAAGCUCGCCGCCUGGGGAGUACGGUCGCAAGACUG
rnacentral:rRNA from 1 species